CCUACGGGUGGCAGCAGUGGGGAAUAUUGGGCAAUGGGCGCAAGCCUGACCCAGCAACGCCGCGUGAAGGAAGAAGGCUUUCGGGUUGUAAACUUCUUUUCUGAGGGACGAAGAAAGUGACGGUACCUCAGGAAUAAGCCACGGCUAACUACGUGCCAGCAGCCGCGGUAAUACGUAGGGGGCAAGCGUUAUCCGGAUUUAUUGGGUGUAAAGGGCGUGUAGGUGGGAAAGCAAGUCAGAUGUGAAAAGUCCGGGCUCAACCCUGAGCCUGCAUUUGAAACUGUUUUUCUUGAGUGCUGGAGAGGCAAUCGGAAUUCCGGGUGUAGCGGUGAAAUGCGUAGAUAUACGGAGGAACACCGGUGGCGAAGGCAGAUUGCUGGACAGGAACUGACGCUGAGGCGCGAAAGCGUGGGGAGCGAACAGGAUUAGAUACCCUUGUAGUC
rnacentral:rRNA from 1 species